rnacentral:rRNA from 1 species
GAUGAACGCUAGCGGGAGGCCUAACACAUGCAAGCCGAGCGGUAUUUGUCCUUCGGGACAGAGAGAGCGGCGCACGGGUGCGGAACACGUGUGCAACCUACCUUUAUCAGGGGGAUAGCCUUUCGAAAGGAAGAUUAAUACCCCAUAAUAUAUUGAAUGGCAUCAUUUGAUAUUGAAAACUCCGGUGGAUAGAGAUGGGCACGCGCAAGAUUGGAUAGUUGGUAGGGUAACGGCCUACCAAGUCGAUGAUCUUUAGGGGGCCUGAGAGGGUGAUCCCCCACACUGGUACUGAGACACGGACCAGACUCCUACGGGAGGCAGCAGUGAGGAAUAUUGGACAAUGGGUGAGAGCCUGAUCCAGCCAUCCCGCGUGAAGGACGACUGCCCUAUGGGUUGUAAACUUCUUUUGUACAGGGAUAAACCUAGAUACGUGUAUCUAGCUGAAGGUACUGUACGAAUAAGCACCGGCUAACUCCGUGCCAGCAGCCGCGGUAAUACGGAGGGUGCAAGCGUUAUCCGGAUUUAUUGGGUUUAAAGGGUCCGUAGGCGGGCCUGUAAGUCAGUGGUGAAAUCUCAUAGCUUAACUAUGAAACUGCCAUUGAUACUGCAGGUCUUGAGUAAAUUUGAAGUGGCUGGAAUAAGUAGUGUAGCGGUGAAAUGCAUAGAUAUUACUUAGAACACCAAUUGCGAAGGCAGGUCACUAAGAUUUAACUGACGCUGAUGGACGAAAGCGUGGGGAGCGAACAGGAUUAGAUACCCUGGUAGUCCACGCCGUAAACGAUGCUAACUCGUUUUUGGGUCUUCGGAUUCAGAGACUAAGCGAAAGUGAUAAGUUAGCCACCUGGGGAGUACGUUCGCAAGAAUGAAACUCAAAGGAAUUGACGGGGGCCCGCACAAGCGGUGGAUUAUGUGGUUUAAUUCGAUGAUACGCGAGGAACCUUACCAAGACUUAAAUGGGAAAUGAUAGAUCUGGAAACAGGUCCUUCUUCGGACAUUUUUCAAGGUGCUGCAUGGUUGUCGUCAGCUCGUGCCGUGAGGUGUUAGGUUAAGUCCUGCAACGAGCGCAACCCCUGUCACUAGUUGCUACCAUUAAGUUGAGGACUCUAGUGAGACUGCCUACGCAAGUAGAGAGGAAGGUGGGGAUGACGUCAAAUCAUCACGGCCCUUACGUCUUGGGCCACACACGUAAUACAAUGGCCGGUACAGAGGGCAGCUACACAGCGAUGUGAUGCAAAUCUCGAAAGCCGGUCUCAGUUCGGAUUGGAGUCUGCAACUCGACUCUAUGAAGCUGGAAUCGCUAGUAAUCGCGCAUCAGCCAUGGCGCGGUGAAUACGUUCCCGGGCCU